UAAAAGUGGAUCUAAAAAGAAAAAAAAAUCAUCUAUAAGGAAGAGCUUUUUAAAGAAUUAAGAUACCAAUUCCCCUAUAUCCCUUAAUCAACCAGCUAGAAAUUUCAAUUAAGAUGAUGAAUGGUGCGGAUAAUAAAGAACACAAUCUACAUAUUUGUUGGAGUCACGGGAAAGGAUAACACAGAGAUGACACAAAAGGUGAUUCAAUGAUACCAGAGAAUCAAACUAAAUUGAAAAAUAUAUGUGGCCUAGUGACAAUUAGUGCAGAAUUCAAGAGCAAGACACUAGUUGUUACAUGCUAGGUUGUCUCUUCAGUAGUCAGUUGUGAAUAUUUAUACAAUAAACCUAUAUUUCAUCUAUGUAUCUUUCUAUCUAUUCAUUCAUCUAUCAAAAUCCAUCUAUCUAUCCAUCCAUGCACAAAUCUAUCAUCCAUCCUGGGGCUUGAAUCCAGAGAUUUUUAACCACUGAGCCACAUCUCUAUCCCUUUAUAUUUGUUAUUUUGAGACAAGGGUCUCACCAAGUUACUUACGGCCUUGCUAAAUUUGCUGAGGCUGGCUUUGAACUUGAGAUCCUCUUGUUCCAGCCUCCCGAGUUGUUGGGAUUAUAAGCUUGCACCAUGGCAGCCAGCUAAAUCUCUAUUUUAAAUAUGAAUCAUCAUGAAAAAAUAUCUGUACAAAAGAAGGAGAUCUGCGGAAGAUGGGUAAUGGCAGUUUAUAGAAGGAAAUAGUGAAGAGCAGAUUCGAUUGGUAUGGCUAGGCAAAAGGGUUUCGAAAAAUCUUCAGGCAUUAUUGCUUUUAGAAACAAGGAGGAAAAUAUUUAUUACAGAAUGUUUUACUGAGCAUCUGUCAAAGUAAGAUGUAUAUUGAGUGGCUUCUAUUAUAUUUGGGAUAUAAGAAAACAAUAGCUUUAGACAUCAAGAAGGUUGUGGAUAA
rnacentral:lncRNA from 1 species